UGGGGGAUAUUGCACAAUGGGCGAAAGCCUGAUGCAGCGACGCCGCGUGGGGGAUGAAGGCUUUCGGGUUGUAAACCUCUUUCGCUAUCGAACAAGGCCCGCUUAGGGUGGGUUGAGGGUAGGUGGAGAAGAAGCGCCGGCUAACUACGUGCCAGCAGCCGCGGUAAUACGUAGGGCGCGAGCGUUGUCCGGAAUUAUUGGGCGUAAAGGGCUUGUAGGCGGCUUGUUGCGCCUGCUGUGAAAACGCGGGGCUUAACUUCGCGCGUGCAGUGGGUACGGGCAGGCUUGAGUGUGGUAGGGGUGACUGGAAUUCCAGGUGUAGCGGUGGAAUGCGCAGAUAUCUGGAGGAACACUGAUGGCGAAGGCAGGUCACUGGGCCAUUACUGACGCUGAGGAGCGAAAGCAUGGGUAGCGAACAGG
rnacentral:rRNA from 1 species